GGAGCCGUGUCCGCGCGCAGGUGAGCUCUCUCAGGUGAGGCCGCCGUGAGGAGGCGCGGAGCCGCUCCCAGGCUCGCGGACGAGAGCAAAGUUUGGAGGAGGAGGUUUUCCGGCGCUCGGAUCCUCGCGCAGACCCGGCACCCUGGGGUGCACCGGCCACACUUUCUCCCCAGUGACGGGCAGCUGGGGCCCUCGGGCCUCUGCGCUUUCUAUCUGCCUUGACAUCCACGUCGGCGUCACGGCUGCUCCACGCCUGCUCCACGCCUGCCUGAAUUAGUGCUUCUGCGCUGGGGCUAAAACGGCCAGCAGUCUGCCCUGCCCCGGGGCCAGAAGACGAGAGGUCAAUCUGCUCAAAUGAUUUUCCACUUUGGCACAGAGCGAGGACUCGUAGCUCCGGGAUGCCUCCUGCUCCUCAAAUGCUCAGAGGUGGAGUUUGAUCGGCGCUGACGGACGGCGACGAAGCGUGGAGACGGCAGACAUGUGCUGACCAGCAGAUCGCCAUCAUCACGCCUCUGACCACGCUCAUUGAUGUGCUGUGUGUAUUUCAACUACAGCACGAGGACCGCCCUGGCUUCUUCUUCUGUGGUGUGCACAGAUUUGGGAGACCUCAGCUGGAGCCAGCAGACAGGCGGGUAUGAGGCCACACACACACAUGUGCAAACCUUUAAAGCCAGCGGACACGCUGCUGUUUCCCGAGUAGAAGUUUCGCUCAUCACGCACUACUCCACUUUCACAUCAGCCAUCAGACUCACACACACAUCAGUGUUUCCAACACACACCUAAAUGCACACGUUUCUUUCCUUACAUCACACGUCAGACUCACACACACAUCGUUACAUCUCUCAGUCUGAGCGAGUGUGUGUCUGUUUGGGUGGAGGUGACAGCAGAGAGGAGGAAGUACACAGGAAAUACAUUAGUUAUCACUCCCCCGUCUUCUCCACCUUUUCACUUCUUAUCACCAGCAGACGUUUCAGAGCCGACGGAGCCGCCGCACUUCCCGCUCUCGCAGUUCUCUGCUCCACUUUCAUGUAGUCGCUGCGAUCCAGAUGACACUUGGCAAGCCGCAGAAGCCGCAAGACAACUAGAUGAAAUAUUUAAAUGAAAUAUGGCAGGGGUAUGAGAGGUGAAGAAAGGACGAGGAGUAAGCGAUAGAAGAGAAAACGAGCCGAGGGACAAUACUCCCAAGUGUGAGGGAUUUCUUUUCUUGGCUCGGAGAAGUGACGGGAAGCGCAGAUGAAUUGGCUUUCACCUGGGUGUAGCCUGAAGAAACAGGUAUAACUGUAUGAGCUCACACUGCUGUGUCCUGGAAUGAUCAGAGGAUAGUCUGAACCCUUCAGCUUCAGGCAGCAGCACUGCAGUCCAGAUGGACCGGAUAACGGCUCUGACCCCGGGCUCGGCGCUCGUACGGAAGCUGGCUAAAUGUGUGGAAUUUGUGGAAAAAUCUGUGGCGUGGCACUAAAGAUGGGCGGGGCCUCAGUGCAGUCCUGUCACUGUGUCAACCUUAGCUUUGUGAAACCAGAGGUGGAGAUCUGCCAAUCACAGGUAGCGCCGCCCUAAAGCCCGCCCCUGCUUGCUGCUCCUUUGUGACUCUACUUCGAUACUUUCUGUUACGCCCCACCCCCACUCCCCCCAGACUGUAAAUAGUAUCAUUUGUCUAUAAAGUUGUUAUUAUACAUGCAUCUCUGCAUAACAUUGUGUCCUUAUUAACAAUAAGGACACAAACAAAAAACAAAGAAUAACUUUAUUAAGAUUGUUUUCUAGUCUGUAACAGAUUUAAAGUGCAUGUAGUAGUACUGCAACUCUCUAAAAUACUACUACUACAUUUAAAGAGCAUCAAUUUGUCUGAAAUUAAAAAAAUAAAUUCUUAUUCACACUAUAAACAUUUUUUUGACCGACUUGAUUCAGAAAAAUAAAAUUAAACAAAAUUUAAAUUGAUCACCAACAUUAACUACUCAGCAGACGGUCUGUUCUCGUCUCCCACCGUAGUCACAGUGAAGCUGAGCGCUACAUACGCCUGGGUGGAGGUGCUACAGGAGAACCAAGGGGAGCAUUAAAAAUCUGCCUGUUCCUCUGUAGCACACACAGGUCAAACACCCUGACCAGAACCCUGACCAGAACCCUCACCGGCCCCCUCGCCAUCUCGAGGUGAGCGACUGCAGGGAGUCUGUGCAGCCUCAGGCCUCCUCUGCAGCCGUGUGUCUGUAGGCUGAUUCAAACAUUCAUAUAGCCGGUCAGUUUUAUUUUUUAUAUUAGCCAUGUUUUUAUGUCAAGUCACACAUUUACUCAGAGGACAGGGUCAGGACCUGUGAGGGGUAACGUGAUGAUCUCACAAUAAAAGUCCUUCACACUGAGCUCUUAUUCUCUGAGCUGCAGUUAAAAUUCAUCUGUUUCUCACUGCUCUUCAACCGAGGCUGAAGGAGAUCAGAAAAACAGUAAUCUGAUAAUAAUUGAUAGUUUUUUAUUAAUCAGGAAGUGAAACUGGACUGUGUUAGUGAGCGUGUCCCGAGCCCAGGAAUAGUAAAAAUCCAAAACAAUAAAAUGAAACCUCUUUACUGAAAACUGUGUGUGUGUGUUUUAUACAGUUGAAUAUCUUCUUAUUUUCUUAAAGCCGUGAAAAUAUUUUAAACCAGGAUCAGAGACGAAGCAGAAAAAUCCCACCGUAAGUCAGCAGUGUGUCGCAGUCAUGCGACCUCAGCUGCAGGUCUUCGUUACUGAGCUGAUUUUGUCUCUCUGUGGGCAGGUGAGCGAUAGAAUGAAGCGUAAUAUCCAACAACGUGAAACAGAUACUUAUCUGACUGCAGACUGAAGCUCAAAUUCAUUCAACUUUAUUCAACUUCAGAUGCAAAUCAGAACAGCAGUCGCCUCAAGGUGCUUCAUGUUGUAAGGUAAAGACAAUAGAGAGAAACUUCAACAAACAGACAGCCCCCUGUGAGCAAGCACCUGGCAACAGUGGGGAACGAAGAACUCCCUUUUAACAGGAA